rnacentral:rRNA from 1 species
GAUGAACGCUGGCGGCGUGCCUAAUACAUGCAAGUCGAGCGAACAGAUAAGGAGCUUGCUCCUUUGAAGUUAGCGGCGGACGGGUGAGUAACACGUGGGUAACCUACCUAUAAGACUGGGAUAACUUCGGGAAACCGGAGCUAAUACCGGAUAACAUUUAGAACCGCAUGGUCCUAAAGUGAAAGAUGGUUUUGCUAUCACUUAUAGAUGGACCCGCGCCGUAUUAGCUAGUUGGUAAGGUAACGGCUUACCAAGGCGACGAUACGUAGCCGACCUGAGAGGGUGAUCGGCCACACUGGAACUGAGACACGGUCCAGACUCCUACGGGAGGCAGCAGUAGGGAAUCUUCCGCAAUGGGCGAAGGCCCGACGGAGCAACGCCGCGUGAGUGAUGAAGGGUUUCGGCUCGUAAAACUCUGUUAUUAGGGAAGAACAAAUGUGUGAGUAACUGUGCACAUCUUGACGGUACCUAAUCAGAAAGCCACGGCUAACUACGUGCCAGCAGCCGCGGUAAUACGUAGGUGGCAAGCGUUAUCCGGAAUUAUUGGGCGUAAAGCGCGCGUAGGCGGUUUCUUAAGUCUGAUGUGAAAGCCCACGGCUCAACCGUGGAGGGUCAUUGGAAACUGGGAAACUUGAGUGCAGAAGAGGAAAGUGGAAUUCCAUGUGUAGCGGUGAAAUGCGCAGAGAUAUGGAGGAACACCAGUGGCGAAGGCGACUUUCUGGUCUGUAACUGACGCUGAUGUGCGAAAGCGUGGGGAUCAAACAGGAUUAGAUACCCUGGUAGUCCACGCCGUAAACGAUGAGUGCUAAGUGUUAGGGGGUUUCCGCCCCUUAGUGCUGCAGCUAACGCAUUAAGCACUCCGCCUGGGGAGUACGACCGCAAGGUUGAAACUCAAAGGAAUUGACGGGGACCCGCACAAGCGGUGGAGCAUGUGGUUUAAUUCGAAGCAACGCGAAGAACCUUACCAAAUCUUGACAUCCUUUGAAAACUCUAGAGAUAGAGCCUUCCCCUUCGGGGGACAAAGUGACAGGUGGUGCAUGGUUGUCGUCAGCUCGUGUCGUGAGAUGUUGGGUUAAGUCCCGCAACGAGCGCAACCCUUAAGCUUAGUUGCCAUCAUUAAGUUGGGCACUCUAGGUUGACUGCCGGUGACAAACCGGAGGAAGGUGGGGAUGACGUCAAAUCAUCAUGCCCCUUAUGAUUUGGGCUACACACGUGCUACAAUGGACAAUACAAAGGGCAGCUAAACCGCGAGGUCAUGCAAAUCCCAUAAAGUUGUUCUCAGUUCGGAUUGUAGUCUGUAACUCGACUACAUGAAGCUGGAAUCGCUAGUAAUCGUAGAUCAGCAUGCUACGGUGAAUACGUUCCCGGGUCU